GGGGCUGAUUCUGGAUUCGACGGGAUUUGCGAAACCCAAGGUGCAUGCCGAGGGGCGGUUUGCCUCGUUAAAAGCCGCAAAAAAAUAGUCGCAAACGACGAAAACUACGCUUUAGCAGCUUAAUAACCUGCUCUGAGCCCUCUCUCCCUAGCUUCCGCUCUUAAGACGGGGAUCAAAGAGCAUGUAGUACCGAGGAUGUAGAAAUUUCGGACGCGGGUUCAACUCCCGCCAGCUCCACCA
rnacentral:tmRNA from 1 species